GCGCUGGUUUAGCUCAGUGGUUACUUCAACUCGGUUUCUGUUUCACGGCCCGCGGGCCAUGAAGUACGAUCCACGGGCGCUGUCCAAUGCUUUU
ensembl:vault_RNA Vault Vault RNA